AUAAUUAUACAGGAUUUUGUAAAGCAGUUUAUUUCGAAAUACUGUUUAUAACUAAAUAUUUUAUUUUUCAUUGAGACACCGCCCUAAAAGUGUCAAGGGUGGGGGUUUGGGGGGUUACACACCAACCAUAAAUUAGGGCCCAGGACACAGCAUCUUUACUUUGGCGAGAAGCAAGAAUGGCUGGAGUCGACUUUUACGCUGUAUCAUAUACGCCCUGUACUCAAGUCCUGAACGAAGUUCUAGAGAUCUUGACAACUGAUGAAGAGCUGGUGCCAAGUCUACCAACGAAUCCACAAACACCGGAGCAAGUGCGGAUCAAUCCUGCCGAGGAGAGCGCAAGCUUAUCGACACCUACACUUAUUUAAUCAGGUACUGAGAACCACGUGGCAGAGAGGGCCUUGGGAGAAACGGUGGUGAAACAGAUCACAGCACAAAAACCUACACAGAUUGAAGAGUGCGUAACAGCUGAGGAAAGCAACCAACAGACCAGAGAAUCACACCUCCAGGAGCAAACAGUUGAGGAAGCCCCUGGACACAGAGAGGAUGGCAGUGCUGAGGAAAGCAACCAACAGGCCCGAGAAUCACACAUCCGGGAGCAACCAGGGGCCCAAACAAUUCUCCAGAAGCCAGAGGACACCGAAAGACGGCCCUUUAAGGUCCCAGCCCAUUUGGAAGCUCUGAAAAUCUUCAAUCGUGAGUUACAUUUGGCUAAACAGCGUCUCGCAGUGCUGAAGGAGUCUGAGUAUCGUUUGUCAGAACAACGGCUUAAGGUGUUUCAGACAAUCUUUGAGAAAUAUUAGAAAUGGCACAGAGGCAACAACCAGAUCAGUUAGGCCGGGCACACAGCACAGAGAACAUUAACUCACAAAUUUUACAUGCAAUUCAAGCUAUAACUCAAAACAACAGCCCACAAGCUGCUGAAAACAUUCCAAAUGUUUUUAUAAACCCAAAUCUGCUACAGCUUGUUAACAAUAUUAACCAUGACACUAACGACAUGCAUGAAAUGGCUGGUGAUUACUUUGAUCGGUUGAACGAGGCUUUGGCAAACCUUACCGCCGGUGAUGGUGCACUAACCCCUGCAGCAGACUCUUUUGGUUUUCUGAACGAUGCUUUAGAUCGACUAAACCAGGAAGGGGGGAAUCUUAAUGAAUCACCACUAACGCCUACCGCUGAUAACCCACAAGGUUCUGACGAUGUGCAUGCUGCCGCUGCUAAUAGUAAUG